AGAGUUUGAUCCUGGCUCAGGACGAACGCUGGCGGCAUGCCUAAUACAUGCAAGUCGAGCGAAUGAUGAAGAAGCUUGCUUCUUCUGAUUUAGCGGCGGACGGGUGAGUAACACGUGGGCAACCUGCCCUGNUAGAUUGGGAUAACUCCGGGAAACCGGGGCUAAUACCGAAUAAUCCAUUUCCUCUCAUGGGGAAAUGUUAAAAGACGGUUUCGGCUGUCACUACAGGAUGGGCCCGCGGCGCAUUAGCUAGUUGGUGAGGUAACGGCUCACCAAGGCGACGAUGCGUAGCCGACCUGAGAGGGUGAUCGGCCACACUGGGACUGAGACACGGCCCAGACUCCUACGGGAGGCAGCAGUAGGGAAUCUUCCACAAUGGACGAAAGUCUGAUGGAGCAAUGCCGCGUGAGUGAAGAAGGUUUUCGGAUCGUAAAACUCUGUUGUGAGGGAAGAACAAGUACGAGAGUAACUGCUCGUACCUUGACGGUACCUCAUUAGAAAGCCACGGCUAACUACGUGCCAGCAGCCGCGGUAAUACGUAGGUGGCAAGCGUUGUCCGGAAUUAUUGGGCGUAAAGCGCGCGCAGGCGGUCCUUUAAGUCUGAUGUGAAAUCCCACGGCUCAACCGUUGGAAGGUCAUUGGGAAACUGGGGGACUUGAGUUACAGAAGAGGAAAGUGGAAUUCCAAGUGUACCGGUG
rnacentral:rRNA from 1 species